rnacentral:rRNA from 1 species
GAUGAACGCUGGCGGCGUGCCUAAUACAUGCAAGUAGAACGCUGAAGGAGGAGCUUGCUCUUCUGGAUGAGUUGCGAACGGGUGAGUAACGCGUAGGUAACCUGCCUGGUAGCGGGGGAUAACUAUUGGAAACGAUAGCUAAUACCGCAUGACAUCAGUUAUUGCAUGAUAACUGUUUAAAAGGGGCAACUGCUCCACUACCAGAUGGACCUGCGUUGUAUUAGCUAGUUGGUGAGGUAACGGCUCACCAAGGCGACGAUACAUAGCCGACCUGGGAGGGUGAUCGGCCAAACUGGGACUGGGACACGGCCCAGACUCCUACGGGAGGCAGCAGUAGGGAAUCUUCGGCAAUGGACGGAAGUCUGACCGAGCAACGCCGCGUGAGUGAAGAAGGUUUUCGGAUCGUAAAGCUCUGUUGUAAGAGAAGAACGAGUGUGAGAGUGGAAAGUUCACACUGUGACGGUAUCUUACCAGAAAGGGACGGCUAACUACGUG